GACGAACGCUGGCGGCGUGCUUAACACAUGCAAGUCGAAGAUAGUGGCGAACGGGUGAGUAAUGCCUAGGUAUCUGCCUGGUAGGGGGGGAUAACUGCCGGAAACGGGCGCUAAUACCGCAUACUAUCAGAUGGGCCUAGGUCGGAUUAGCUAGUUGGUGGGGUAAAGGCCUACCAAGGCGAAGAUCCGUAGCUGGUCUGAGAGGAUGAUCAGUCACACUGGAACUGAGACACGGUCCAGACUCCUACGGGAGGCAGCAGUGGGGAAUAUGGGACAAUGGGCGAAAGCCUUAUGCAGCCAGGCCGCGUGUGUGAAGAAGGUCUUCGGAUUGUAAAGCACUUUAAGUUGGGAGGCGUUACCAACAGAAUAAGCACCGGCUAACUUCGUGCCAGCAGCCGCGGUAAUUC
rnacentral:rRNA from 1 species